rnacentral:rRNA from 1 species
AUUGAACGCUGGCGGCAUGCUUUACACAUGCGAGUCGAACGGUAACAGGCCGCAAGGUGCUGACGAGUGGCGAACGGGUGAGUAAUGCAUCGGAACGUGCCCAGUCGUGGGGGAUAACUACUCGAAAGAGUGGCUAAUACCGCAUACGAUCUAUGGAUGAAAGCGGGGGACCGUAAGGCCUCGCGCGAUUGGAGCGGCCGAUGUCAGAUUAGGUAGUUGGUGGGGUAAAGGCUCACCAAGCCAACGAUCUGUAGCUGGUCUGAGAGGACGACCAGCCACACGGGGACUGAGACACGGCCCAGACUCCUACGGGAGGCAGCAGUGGGGAAUUUUGGACAAUGGGCGCAAGCCUGAUCCAGCAAUGCCGCGUGCAGGAAGAAGGCCUUCGGGUUGUAAACUGCUUUUGUACGGAACGAAACGGCUCUGGUUAAUACCCGGGGCUAAUGACGGUACCGUAAGAAUAAGCACCGGCUAACUACGU